CCUACGGGGUGCAGCAGUGAGGAAUAUUGGUCAAUGGCCGGAAGGCUGAACCAGCCAAGCCGCGUGAAGGACGAAGGUGCCAAGCAUUGUAAACUUCUUUUGUCAAGGGACAAAAUCAGGCUCGAGAGCCUGACCGAGGGUACUUUAAGAAAAAGCAUCGGCUAACUCCGUGCCAGCAGCCGCGGUAAUACGGAGGAUCCGAGCGUUAUCCGGAUUUAUUGGGUGUAAAGGGAGCGCAGGCGGCACGGCAAGCCUGAUGUGAAAGCCCGCGGCCCAACCGCGGGAUUGCAUUGGAAACUACCAGGCUGGAGUGCAGGAGAGGUAGGCGGAAUUCCUAGUGUAGCGGUGAAAUGCGUAGAUAUUAGGAGGAACCCCAGUGGCGAAGGCGGCCUACUGGACGGUGACUGACGCUGAGGCUCGAAAGCGUGGGGAGCAAACAGGAUUAGAUACCCGAGUAGUC
rnacentral:rRNA from 1 species